UAUUCUUCAAAAAAUUUCAGCAAAUUCGUAUUCCAAUCAUCAAAACAUACAAAUUUACAAUCUUAGUAACAACCAAGAUUUGUAUUUCAAAAAAUAGUAAUAAUUAGUAAAUAAAAAAUAAUAUGUCACAAUUCUAUUGUGAAUACAAUUUGCACCCUUUGACUCUCUCUCUCUCUCUCUCUUCUUCUUCUUCUUCUUCUUCUUCUUCUUCUUCUGAUGAUGAUGAUGAUGAUGAUGAUGAUGAUGAUGAUGAUGAUGAUGAUGAUGAUGAUGAUGAUGAUGACUUAUGAUGACUUCUGAUGAUGAUGAUGAUCUGUUCCAUUUUUUUUAGAUUUUAUUUUCACAAAAAUCAAAUUUGAAUCUGUAUUCGCUUGUGCAUUAGUAACCCUAUAAGAAAAGUUUAAAAUUAAUAAAUAUGAAUGUAUGAAAAAUCAAACAACAUAUGAUAUAUGAAUAUUAAUGUACAUUAGCACAAUCUAAGAUAUCUCAAAUGUGUAAAAAAACUCACAAAAAAUUGAAAAGAGGAUAUAAAAUCAUAAAUACAUAAAAUUUGAAAUACAAAAAAUAUUUGGUGAAUAUGAAAAUAAAACCAGUCCUCUUUUCAAACAAGAUCGAAAAGAUGACAGAAAAUUCAAAAUGAAAACAUUUGGCGACUUCAAAAUUACCUACUAAAUCAAAAUUACCUUUAAAGGACAACAUGUUCUCGAAAUCUCAUUGAGAGAAUAUGAAAACAUUUGAUGAAUAUGAAAACAAAAUCAGAACAAAAUAUUUGGUGACUUUAAAAUUACCUUCAUCAGCUGAGCGAUUUCUUGAUCUAAUUGAUACAUUUUUUUAACAAAUUGAAAGAAAAUUGAAGAGUUAAUUUGUCUUGAACAAUGACUGAGAGAAAAAUUGAGAUAACGUGAAGAGAGAUAGAGAAUAUUGACUUGCCUGAAAACCUAGAAACAAUGG
rnacentral:lncRNA from 1 species